rnacentral:rRNA from 1 species
UACGUAGGGUGCGAGCGUUGCCCGGAUUUAUUGGGCGUAAAGGGCGCGUAGGCGGCUCGGCACGUCCGUUGUGAAAUCGCCCGGCUCAACUGGGCGGGGUCAGCGGAUACGGCCGAGCUUGAGCAAGCUAGGGGGCAAUGGAAUUCCCGGUGUAGUGGUGGAAUGCGUAGAUAUCGGGAGGAACACCAGUGGCGAAGGCGGUUGCCUGGAGCUUUGGCUGACGCGUGAUGCGCGAAAGCGUGGGGAGCGAUCCGG